rnacentral:rRNA from 1 species
GACGAACGCUGGCGGCGUGCCUAAUACAUGCAAGUCGAACGCAGUGGGGACGGGUGAGUAACACGUGGGUAACCUCCCAUCAGAGGGGAUAACACUUGGAAACAGGUGCUAAACCGACAUGGAUGGAUGGACCCGCGGUUCAUUAGCUAGUUGGGGAGGUAACGGCUCACCAAGGCCACGAUGCAUAGCCGACCUGAGAGGAUGAUAGGCCACACUGUGACUGAGACACGGCCCAGACUCCUACGGGAGGAAGCAGUGGGGAAUCUUCGGCAAUGGACGAAAGUCUGACCGAGCAACGCCGCGGGAGUGAAGAAGGUUUUCGGAUCGUAAAACUCUGUUGUGAGAGAAGCGGUAUCUAACCAAAAAGCCACGGCUAACUACGUGCCAGCAGCCGCGGUAAUUC